rnacentral:rRNA from 1 species
ACCCCGCACAAGCGGUGGAUCAUGUUGUUUAAUUCGAUGAUACGCGAAGAACCUUACCAGGUCUUGACAUCCCCCGCGAUGCUUUAGAGAUAAAGCGGAGGUAUUCGGGGAGACAGGUGGUGCAUGGUUGUCGUCAGCUCGUGUCGUGAGAUGUUGGGUUAAGUCCCGCAACGAGCGCAACCCUAUUGCUAGUUACCAUCAUUAAGUUGGGGACUCUAGCGAGACUGCCAGUGAUAAACUGGAGGAAGGUGGGGAUGACGUCAAAUCAUCAUGCCCCUUAUGACCUGGGCUACAAACGUGAUACAAUGGCUGGAACAAAGGGAUGCGAAGCAGUGAUGUGGAGCGAAACCCAUAAAAACAGUCUCAGUUCGGAUUGAAGUCUGCAACUCGACUUCAUGAAGUCGGAAUCGCUAGUAAUCGCGGAUCAGAACGCCGCGGUGAAUACGUUCUCGGGGUUU